rnacentral:rRNA from 1 species
AUGGGCGCCCCGUGUAGCGCACGCCCUCGCCCGCGUUCGCCGGCGUGCAGUACCCGCCGUACACGUACUCGCCGACCAGACUACGCAGCCUCACCGACGCCGUCUCUCCGCCGCGGCCUCUACUCACAAGCCUCUUCCUUGUCGCAUCUCGGCGACGCUGACACGACGGAGGCCGACAUGGAGGACAUCAUCGCAGCCGGCUCGGCCGCGGCCGCUGCUUCCCCCGGGUUCGCUACGCAGGACCUCGCCGACGUGGACGACGAGCUCGACUACGGCAAGGAAGAGCCGGAGGAGGAGGAGGAAGAGGAGGAGGAGCCGACGCCGACGAGGAAAAGCAAGAAGAAGAAGAAGAAGGCGGCCAAGUCCGGCGAGCCACACAUCAAAUGGGCGUCCAAAGAAGAAGAGUGCCUCGCCGAAGCAUGGAAGGUCGUCUGCCUCGACCCGAUCAUCGGCACGAAUCAGAGCAUCGAGAUGUAUUGGGACCGCAUCAAGGCCGAGUUCGACAAGCGGAAGCUCGUCGACCCCUACUUCAAAGGCAUGCACAUGAAGCGGGGGUCGAAGACGAUGGCGAACCAUUGGUCGCUCAUUCAAACGGCGUGCAACAAAUGGCAUGAGAUCAUCGAGGAGGUCACGACUCGCCCGGAGAGCGGCACCAGCGUCGAGGAUCAGACUUCAAGUACCUCCACGUCUUCAAGCGGAUCGACAAGUGCGAGAAAUGGGCGGCCGUCCGACGCACCCUCGCCAAGGCCAAAGAGACGUACAAGCUGGACGCGCCGACAGCGGGCGCGUCCGAUGGACGCCUGGACGGCAACAAAGGUGCCAAGAAGGCGAAAUACGCCGAGACAGCUGCCGCGCGCGUGCAAGAGUCCGUCGAGCACUGCAUCACCGACGCCAAAAUCAGGGCCGCCGAGCGAGAGGAGAAAACAUAGGCGAGGUGGGCUGUUUUGA